UAACGACUCUCGGCAACGGAUAUCCCGGCUCUCGCAUCGAUGAAGAACGUAGCGAAAUGCGAUACUUGGUGUGAAUUGCAGAAUCCCGUGAACCAUCGAGUCUUUGAACGCAAGUUGCGCCCGAAGCCAUUAGGCUGAGGGCACGUCUGCCUGGGUGUCACGU
rnacentral:rRNA from 1 species